rnacentral:lncRNA from 1 species
AGGGAAAGUGAUCUUUUCUAGUUGCCUGGUUCAACCUCCUGUAAUCGAUACAAACUCUCCAACUGUUCUGGACUCUAGUGGGUACAAGUUCAUUUUUUUUUCAUUUUUCACCACAGUGAGUCCAGAUUUCUUAGGCACAACCUAUACUGGACUUACCCAAUUACUGUCAGAGAUCGGAUAAAUGAUACCUGCUUGUAACAAUUUAGUUACCUCCUUUUUCACAACAUCAAGAAUCAAAGGGUUGAGUCUCCUUUGGGGUUGUCUCACCACUUUAGCUCCCUCCUCAAGGUGAAUCUGAUGCAUGCACAUUAUGGGGCUAAUGCCUGGUAUGUCAGCUAAGGUCCAUCCGAUUGCCUUCUUAUGCUGCUUCAAAACCUGCAAAAGCUUUUCUUCCUGCUCACAAUCAAGGUUAGAAGAAAUAAUCACAGGUAGCUUUUCAUUUUCCUCUAAGUAAGCAUAUUUCAGAUUUUCAGGAAGCGGUUUAAGCUCCAAGGACGGUGGUUGUUCUAUGGAUGGUUUUGUUGGAACAGCCGGGAUGUCAAGAGUUUCAACUGCGUAAACAGCUUCAUUGGCA